rfam:Daucus carota subsp. sativus cultivar DH1 chromosome 2, whole genome shotgun sequence.
GAAUGCAUUACUGGGCAAAUACUCCAUUGGCAGUAGAUUACUCUGCUGCGAUAGCGAUUAAUCGGAUGGCUGAAUAGUAAGUUCUACUGCCAAAGGAGAUUUGCCCCGCAAUUCUGGU